rnacentral:rRNA from 1 species
UACGGAGGGGGCUAGCGUUGUUCGGAAUUACUGGGCGUAAAGCGCGCGUAGGCGGACCUGCAAGUCGGGGGUGAAAGCCCGAGGCUCAACCUCGGAACUGCCUUCGAUACUGCGGGUCUCGAGUCCGGGAGAGGUGAGUGGAAUUCCUAGUGUAGAGGUGAAAUUCGUAGAUAUUAGGAAGAACACCAGUGGCGAAGGCGGAUCUCUGGGCCAUUACUGACGCUGAGGAGCGAA